rnacentral:rRNA from 1 species
CCACCGCGGUUAUACGAGCGGCCCAAGUUGAUAAAAAACGGCGUAAAGCGUGGUUAAAAGAAUACUAAAACUAGGGCCGAAUAGCCUCAAAGCAGUUAUACGCACUCGAGACCACGAAGUACAAUUACGAAAGUAGCUCUACCCUACUUUGACUCCACGAAAACCAUAAAACAAACUGGGAUUAGAUACCCCACUAUGUAUGGCUGUUAACAUCGAGGGCCCGAUACUCAGACCCUCCGCCUGGGGACUACGAGCACUAGCUUAAAACCCAAAGGACUUGGCGGUGCUUUACCCCCCACUAGAGGAGCCUGUUCUAGAACUGAUAACCCCCGUUGAACCUCACCAUCCCUCGUUUAACCCGCCUAUAUACCGCCGUCGUCAGCUUACCCUGUGAAGGCCAAAUAGUAAGCAAAAAUGGCUAAGCCAAAAACGUCAGGUCGAGGUGUAGUGAAUGGGAUGGGAAGAAAUGGGCUACAUUCUCUGUUACAGAGAAUACGAAUGGCAGCCUGAAAACCCUGCCUGAAGGUGGAUUUAGCAGUAAGGGGGGAAUAGAGUGCCCCCCUGAAAACGGCCCUGAAGCGCGCACACACCGCCCGUCACUCUCCCCGAAUAAUUAUAGAUAUUACCUAAAAUGUUUUACCAAACGAGGGGAGGCAAGUCGUAACAUGGUAAGCG